ensembl:lncRNA
CAUGAAUUUAACUGUGUAGGCAAAGGAAACAUCCACAUUUUCAAUGAUGGGUUACUCUAGGACUUGAUAACCACUGAUUUAUAUUUGUUUGAUGCCUUUGAAUAAUUUUAAAGCAGACCAUUUUUUUACAACAAUUGUCUCUCUCUCACUUCCUCAGUGUCUGCACACACAAUUUGCUGUGGGUGGUCUGGUCAUAGCAGCGAUAUUAUUUUUAGUUGGAUUGGUCACUGUUCAUCAGAGCAGAAACAGAGUCAAGACAUCAGAAAUUUUCUUAUGUUGUGCAACAGCAACGCCUGGCAAAGUUGAAGAGGUGAGUAAUGCCAGUGAUUCUGCAAGGCAGUUACUGUCUACAAACAGGAAUUAAACAUCUUUACAUCUGAUCUUUACAUCUUUACAUCUGGUCAAAUGUUUAAUCUUUACAUCAUUUUACAAAGGUCUGGCAGCUACAUUAACAAUGUGCUUUUGUUUUGGCACAGAACAGCACAGAGAUGAAAUCUACAGAUGAGACUGAAGUCAAGAAAAGCCAAUCAGAUUCAGUCUAUCAGAAUCUAAACCUCAGCACGGUCCAAUCAAAUGAAGUAUAUGGAAAUCUCGGAUUGCUGAAUCAUUUAGUAAUAUUCAGAGUACCAGUCUCUAGACUAACAAUCCCAGAUCUCAAGUACAUUUAAUUCAACAAGCCUGUAAAAUACAAGUUUAUUAUGUACAGAGAAUAAGUAUGAAGAUAAAUAAAAAAAAUUAAAAAAAAGAAUCA